GUUCUCCCCUCCCCUCUCCUCUUCUCUCUCAUCCUCUCCCUUCUCUCUUCCCCCUCCAGCCUCCACUCCUUCGCCCGCUCACUCACCCUCUCCCUCUCCCGCUGCCCCCCCUUUCUCCCCCACCUCUUUGUUUCAGCUGAGAACCAGCUCCUCGGGACAGUUCCCACACUGCAGUGCCUCUGGUGAGGAGACAGCGCCACUGAGUCUUGGGCCAACGUGGUACCACACCUGAGAUCAGCACGAGCAGCAGGUCAUCAGCUGUGAGUCCCUCGGCCAGUUGCCGGAUGGCCAGCGCAGCCCGCAGCGCAUCGCGGUCCGGGAGGUUGUCCUCCGCACCCUCGAAUACCUGGACACGGCUAUGUGGCUUCAGCAGCAUCUCCCUGGGGAGGGAAAGGUCAGCGCGCAAGAGAUGGGGUGGACUCCUCUCCUCCCCCCGAUCUCUCAACUUUACAGGUGAUGGGGGCAUGAACGAAGAUGCCCACCGACAUGCAUCCUGGGGCCAGGCCAGACCCGGGAGAAAAGGGAAGCGGGUGGGGAGGGGAGGUCCGAUUCAGCCUGUGUCUGGGCCCAGGUUUCCCUCCAGAUAGACAGCGGGAGGCAGCCCCCCAUGGCUCCUUACUGCUUGCCGGCGCGCUCCAUGGCAGCACGGAUCCCCUUGGGAACGCUGAUCACGCCCUGCACAAGAUGCUGGCCCAGUAGUUCCUCAGCUGCAGCUGCCAUGCCCAGCACAGCCUUGCCAAAGCCCACCAGGUAGAGGUUUUGCCUCAGCUGAAAGUUCCGGUCCCGCACCUGCAGCUGUCUGCCACCAGGGUCCAAGGAUAGUGCCCGGUGCAGCAUGGGGCCCGGCAGCACUGCACCUACAGCAGUCUCAAACAGCUGCCUGGCCUGCUCUGCCAAGGCCAUGCUGCUGGCCAGACGGGCCACUGAGCCCCGCCAGAGGAGUGGAUGCAAGGGGGCUCGGGCCAAGCGGGGCAGGACCUGCAGGGCUGCAGCCAUGCCCCACUGCUCUCAGCACUGCCUGGCACCCAUGGCUGCCUAGAGGGAAAAAACACAACUGAGGCCCUUGCAAGGCAAAAGACAGGAGGUCCCCCACGGCCUCCCCUCUGAGGGCUCAGGGCCAGUGGACCCCACAGCUGCUGCUACAAGAAGGAGCCAUCUGAUAGCCCCAGGAGACUUCCUGAAGCCUGCAGCUGCAGGAUCUCACUCGUCCUUGGAAACCAGCCCUGCCACCCAGCCACGUCCUCCUCUUCUGCAGACCACAUGCCGGCCCUCUGGAUACUCUGCCUCAAGUCCAAAGUUCCUAUUAGCUGGGCCCUCCUCCCAGGUCACCCCUUUGGCUGGGAGUUAAUCAUUGACAGAGGGAGUAAUUUCUACCAGUGGGCUCCCAUCCCACCCCUUUUCCACCCCCUGCACUUCUGAGCUCUUACCCAGGGGCAACGCCCCUUUCUGGCACUCCUUCCUUGCCUCUUUACCACCUCUGCUGCCAGGAAGCUGUUGAUUGUCCCACCAACUGACCCCGAGCCCAUUGACCUCCAGUCUUCUCUAUUUCAUUAUCUCAUGAGACAGGGAUUAGGAGCCUGGGAAGCCAGGGUCUAUAGGAGGCUGCAGGUUUAUCAGGUCAAACCCAGAACACAUCCUCAGGGCCAGCAAUCUGAGGAAUCUCAGUAUUCAGGGCCAGUUCGGCAAGAGGUUUAGGUUCAAAUCAGGAGUGAGGGCAAAGUCUGGCUCAUGGUGGAACCUUAGAAAAGUCCCCAGGCACCAUGUGAGGCCAUGUGCCAUGAAGCCCAAUUGCAGGACAGAAAAGGAUGCCCUUCUACCCACACAGUUGGCCAGACCCAACCCUGCCAAGAACACCCCUUCUGGUUCCAAGAUAACAAAAACAAGUCCUAGGUCACACCACCCACAGUGGUGAGAGCCCAAGGGCUGAAAUAGGCAAAGGCCAGGCUCCCAUAACUGAGCCCAUAGCCAUUUUCCCCACUGGGCAGAGUAAAAGCUAAAGCAGCCUUGGGGCGAAGGUCAGGAAGCUGUAGAAGGGUAUAGGAACAGCAAAGACCCAAAGAGCUCAUCUGUACUACACACGUACUAUUGCAUCUACUUUAAUAAAUGCCUACCAUAAAUGCUGCAAGCUGACUUCAACAGCAAGUAUGGACUGAGCAGGGUAAGGAGGCUGGGAAUUGAGGUUCCAGCUCUACUAUAGGUUUUCUGAGUGGCUGGGACACCUCCAUUUCUCUCACUGGGCCUCAUCCGCAAAAUGAGACACGGGGUGAGAUUAACACUACGCUCUCCCCUUAACAACCUCAGGCUCUCUGAUACUGUCCACUGCAACACAGAUCUCAAACACCGGUUUACCCCACACCCAAAUAUGGUGGUUACUUCUAGACUUUGACCAUUUUGCCUGCCUAGUUCUCAGCUCUCCCAUAAGAAAAGACAGCCAUGCCUGACUUCUGUUGUGAAAGGGAACACAGAGGGCAAUGUCAUGGGGAUUCCGAAAAUGGGUCCAGUUUUGGCCAGGGGAACCCCUGCAGCUUGCCCAUUAGACUUGGAGCUAAAAGCAUCUUAGCAACUAAGACAGCCGGUCUUUAUAGCCUGGGUGAAAUUUGUAUCUAUUUCCCAGAUGGACAAGAGCCUAGAAGAUCCCAGCCUUGCCACUGGCUAUGAGCACAGGACAGGGGGAGGCUCAAUGCUAAGGCUGCCAGAGAAAAUACAGGACGUCCAGUUAAAUUUGAAUUUCAAAUAAACAAGUAAUUUUUAAAGUAUAA